rnacentral:rRNA from 1 species
AUGGCUCUCCGCCGCGCCAUCGGGUCCCUCGCCGUCCGCUCGCAGGCGGCAUCAUACUGCCUCCGCCGCGCCGCCGCCUCGCCGCCCACCCUCACGCCUCCCCCGCCCCCGCCCCCGUCCUUCCGCCGCCCGGUCGUCGUCCCCCGCCGCUCCUUCGCCGCCCCGCCGCAGCACGUCAAGAAGGCGUUCAAGGACGCCGACGACGCCGACGCCGGGCCCCGGCUCAACAACGACAUCACCGCCCCCUUCCUCCGGAUCGUCACGGACCAAGGGCAUGACGUUGUCCCCCGGCACGAGGCGCUCCAGACGGCCGCCAGGAUGGGCCUCGACCUGGUUGAGGUCGACCGGAAAGCGGACCCUCCGGUGUGCAAGAUCAUGGACUUCCACAAGGAGAAGUACAUCAAGGAUGCCAAGGAUAAAGAGCGCCAAAAGGCCAAGUCUGCCAUUACUUUGCGUUGUGGAGAUAUCAAAGAAGUGAGGUUUAAGGCGAAAACUGAAAUUAAAGACAUGAAGGUGAAAGCAGAUGCAAUUACCAGGCUGAUGGAGCGUGGGUACAGGGUGAAGUGCAUGGCGAUGCCCGCAGCCGCAGGUAACGAAGCAGAAGAUUUAGGCGGACCGCUGUCUCGGUUACUAGGACUGAUACAAGAUGUCUGCACUGUGGAAAGCGGGCCUCAUUUGGACUCCAAGCAUGCGUAUGUUAUUGUCAGGCACGUGAAGUUUGCAACCAGGAAAGGUGGAAAGAAAGCAAGCCAGGCCAUUGAAGACGCAACCAAAGGCACCCCCCGCGCCGCUACCUCCGAAUCACCAGCCACUAGCGCUGAUAGUGGGGACGAGACAAACGAACAGGGUCUGGAAGCUGAGGAUCCCCGGGAAUCUUCAGCGCAAAAGGAAGGGAAAGAUAGAGAGUUUAGAGGCAAUAACCGCGGUAAAUUGGACAACAGCAGGAAGGCUGCUGCAGGAAGCAGGAUUCGCCCUGGUCCAGGGGGACCCCAAUCAUCGCAACCUGGACUUGGUUCCAGGAGUGGAAAUUCUCAGCAAGAGCAGACUAAUAAUGUUCCAGGCAUGGCACCCGAGCAAACCAACAGGUAUGCCAGCCGUAAGCAGCAGACCUCCACAGGCGACAACCAAGUUAGACCACCGCAGCAGGACCCGAGAAGAGGUGAGCAUGAAGGCCGCUAUCCAAGGCCUCCUUUGGAACAGCCUAGCCCGCCGCCGCCAAGGUUCAACCAAGGCAGUAGACCCCCACAGCAAGACCCGAGAAGAAACGAGAAUGAAGACAGGUAUCGGCGUCCCCAGGACAACCAAAGGCCGCCUCUGCAGCAGCCUGGCCCGCCGCCCCCAAGGUUCAGCCAAGGCAGCAGACCGCCACAGCAGGACCCGAGGGGAAACGAGAGAGGAAGCCAUGUCCCACCGUUUAACAGCCAGCGGCCGCAGUUCCAGCAACCGAAUCAGAAUGCCGAGCCAUCAGCAGGGAAUGUUGGUGCUUCGACAGCAGCCAGGAGUGUGGGCGUGUUCAGCAGCCGAAAGCCAGCCACGGCGUCCGAGCCGAAGAAGACGGCGGACGGCGCGCCGUCUGGUGGUGCCGGUAAGCCUGCUGCCGAUACCGGUCCGGCCAAAAGCUUUGGAAUAUUCAGUAAGCCUAAAAAGGGAUGA